rnacentral:rRNA from 1 species
AGUGAACGCUGGCGGUAGGCCUAACACAUGCAAGUCGAACGGCAGCACAGUAAGAGCUUGCUCUUACGGGUGGCGAGUGGCGGACGGGUGAGGAAUACAUCGGAAUCUACUUUUUCGUGGGGGAUAGCGUAGGGAAACUUACGCUAAUACCGCAUACGACCUACGGGUGAAAGCAGGGGAUCUUCGGACCUUGCGCGAUUGAAUGAGCCGAUAUCGGAUUAGCUAGUUGGCGGGGUAAAGGCCCACCAAGGCGACGAUCCGUAGCUGGUCUGAGAGGAUGAUCAGCCACACUGGAACUGAGACACGGUCCAGACUCCUACGGGAGGCAGCAGUGGGGAAUAUUGGACAAUGGGCGCAAGCCUGAUCCAGCCAUACCGCGUGGGUGAAGAAGGCCUUCGGGUUGUAAAGCCCUUUUGUUGGGAAAGAAAAGCAGCAGGUUAAUACCCCGCUGUUCUGACGGUACCCAAAGAAUAAGCACCGGCUAACUUCGUG